rnacentral:rRNA from 1 species
CACGUAGGGGGCGAGCGUUGUCCGGAUUUAUUGGGCGUAAAGAGCUCGUAGGCGGCUCGGUAAGUCGGGUGUGAAACCUCCAGGCUCAACCUGGAGACGCCACCCGAUACUGCCGUGGCUAGAGUCCGGUAGAGGAGCGUAGAAUUCCUGGUGUAGCGGUGAAAUGCGCAGAUAUCAGGAGGAAUACCAGCGGCGAAGGCGGCGCUCUGGGCCGGUACUGACGCUGAGGCGCGAAAGCGUGGGGAGCAAACAGG